AUCUUUUUAGUAUUAAAGUAGUACAAGUGACUUCCACUCAUUUAGACUUGGAUCAACCCAAGAAAAGAU
rnacentral:tRNA from 1 species